UUACGAGGAAAGUGUGGUUGAAGAAGGGAAUUAUUUUAAAAGCUAAGCAAUCGAGGUUGAGCGGCGAUGGGGAGGACGGAUGUUGAGCAGUUAAAGUCAAAAUGCGUUUCACUUUGUUUUGGAUAAUGUCGUGUCGUCAUACCCGGCAUUAUCUGUCUCUUGAUCUUUUUCCACUGCUUGUAAUCCGAAACAAUGUUUUCAUUUAAACUCUGGUUACUUAAACUUUUGAAAUGUCGCUACAGUACCUUGUUUUAAAAUGAAUUUCCUUUUAUUAAA